rnacentral:tRNA from 1 species
AUGAUGGCCGAGUGGUCUAAGGCGCUGGCUUUAGGCGCCAGUCCGAAAGGGCGUGGGUUCGAACCCCACUCA